rnacentral:snRNA from 1 species
AAACUUACCUGGCAGGGAAGCUACCACAAUCAAAGCUUACCCAGGGGGAGGCUUGUCCAUUGCACUCCAGAUGUGCUGAUGCCUGCAAUUUCCACAAACAUGGGGAAAUCAAUUACACAGUUUGUGUUGGUAGUAGACUGCAUACUCACUCUCCUC